CGCCAGCCUUCCCAACCUAACUUAUCCACCGACAUCUGGUGCACUUUGAGUGUGAGGUGAUGUCUGUAGACAUGUUUCUACCCAGAUACUCGGUAAAAGUGAAUUGCGCGGAACUUAAACAAGGUUCAUGGUGGUAGUUUGGUGGAGACCAAUGCUUCAGCCGACAGUCACGACACUUUGAUGACUUUCCCUCGAAAGUGUUGCUCCGCCUGUCCGUCGUCCUUCCUGUCUGAUCUGCCAACCUCGUCAGAGAGAGAGAGACGACUGCUCCUCCGGCGACACGGAGUCGAGCCUGUCCCAGUCUAGGGACAUGUGGUGUCUCCCACGACUGAUACACCACUACAACCACUGUAACCACUGAGACUGUCAGUCGAAGAAAAGAUAAGCCAAGGCUGUGAAAUGAGUCAGCUGUGUAAUGAUGGAGAAGGACUUGCUGGUUCAUCUCACAGUUUGGUUUCCCUGAUGUUUAGAAGCUUGACUGGCAUCCCACCUCAUCUGAUGAGCAGCGAGCACCGUCAAGGGA